ACUGGCGGCCCGACCGACUAACGGCCCGAUCGACCGACUCCGACCGGGCGAGAACCCGACCGAUCGGCGGUCGGGGCGACCAACUGACGGAUGCCGUCAUCGGCCAUUCAACAGUCCAUCACCGACUGGGGAUAUGUCGGGCGUAUCCAUCCCGACCGACCGAACCCAGUGGUCUGAUGGCCGACUCACAUGAAACUCGCCGACC
rnacentral:lncRNA from 1 species